UGGUAGUCUACUCGUGAUAAGAGUGUGAACAGAGAAGAAAAGACAAAGACAAGGCACGGCCCUCCGUGGGUGACCUCCCCGUCCCGUGCAGGUGUUGUUCGGAAGGUCUUGCAACAAUCCGGUCCGCCGUUCAGGAGAUUCGCGGAGAGGACUCCGGACGAAUCCCGGUGUCUGGUCACCCUGAGAUGGUCCAACUACAGACAGUAGGAGUUGCCAGAACUAAUGAAAAAGCUGCAUGGAAACCGAACAGAAAGGAACAACGUGGAACGGAACGAGUUCCCCGAAACCCGGAGCAGAGUUCAGAAACUCUCCGGAUGACGACGGUGAGUGACCGCGUCUGUCUACCUGGUGAGGAAGAAACAAUUCCAGGUGGCUGAACCCUGGUUCUCCACACUGCGGACGACAGGAUAUCACCCCCCCCUCUUUCGACCUGACCCAGGAAUUCCCUUGCUCUG